CACGGAGUUAGCCGGUGCUUAUUCAUAUAGUACCGUCAUUAUCUUCCUAUAUAAAAGGAGUUUACGCUCCGAAAAGUGUCAUCCUCCACGCGGCGUUGCUGCAUCAGAGUUUCCUCCAUUGUGCAAUAUUCCC
rnacentral:rRNA from 1 species